ensembl:misc_RNA Metazoa_SRP Metazoan signal recognition particle RNA
GCCCGGCACGGAGGCGCACGCCUGUCCACCCAGCUACUCAGGAGGCUGAGACAGGGGGAUCACUUGAGUCCAGGAGUUCUGGGCUGUAGUGCGCUAGGCCGAUCGAGUGUCCGCACUAGGUUCCGCAUCAAUAAGGUGACUUCCCGGGAGCCGGGGACCACCGGGUUGCCUAAGGAGGGAUGAACCGACCCAGGUGGGAAACGGAGCAGGUCAGAACUCCCGUGUGUUUAUGAAAUAUAGCUAAGGAAAAUAAACAGAAAUUCUAGCUGGGAAGAGUUUAAAGAGUUAAAGGUGACAAAGUUAGAGUCAGUCUAU